rnacentral:rRNA from 1 species
GACGAACGCUGGCGGCGUGCUUAACACAUGCAAGUCGAACGGAAAGGCCCUGCUUGCCGGGUACUCGAGUGGCGAACGGGUGAGUAACACGUGGGUGAUCUGCCCUGCACUUCGGGAUAAGCCUGGGAAACUGGGUCUAAUACCGGAUAGGAGCCAUUUUUAGUGUGAUGGUUGGAAAGUUUUUUCGGUGUAGGAUGAGCUCGCGGCCUAUCAGCUUGUUGGUGGGGUAAUGGCCUACCAAGGCGGCGACGGGUAGCCGGCCUGAGGGGGUGGACGGCCACAUUGGGACUGAGAUACGGCCCAGGCUCCUACGGGAGGCAGCAGUGGGGAAGAUUGCACAAGGGGCGCAAGCCUGAUGCAGCGACGCCGCGUGGGGGAUGACGGCCUUCGGGUUGUAAACUCCUUUCGCUAGGGACGAAGCUUUUUGUGACGGUACCUAGAUAAGAAGCACCGGCUAACUACGUG